rnacentral:rRNA from 1 species
GAUGAACGCUGGCGGCGUGCCUAAUACAUGCAAGUCGAGCGAACGGACGAGAAGCUUGCUUCUCUGAUGUUAGCGGCGGACGGGUGAGUAACACGUGGAUAACCUACCUUUAAGACUGGGAUAACUUCGGGAAACCGGAGCUAAUACCGGAUGAUAUUUUGAACCGCAUGGUUCAAAAGGGAAAAACGUUCUUGCUUUACCUUCUAGAUGGAUCCGCGCUGCAUUAGCUAGUUGGUAAGGUAACGGCUUACCAAGGCAACGAUGCAUAGCCGACCUGAGAGGGUGAUCGGCCACACUGGCACUGAGACACGGUCCAGACUCCUACGGGAGGCAGCAGUAGGGACUCUUCCGCAAUGGGCGAAAGCCUGACGGAGCAACGCCGCGUGAGUGAUGAAGGUCUUCGGAUCGUAAAACUCUGUUAUUAGGGAAGAACAUAUGUGUAAGUAACUGUGCACAUCUUGACGGUACCUAAUCAGAAGGCCAGGGCUAACUACGUG